rnacentral:piRNA from 1 species
UUCUCGGUGAAAAAUUUGUGU